AAAUAAAUCAUUUUUCAAUUUUUGUUUAUGUGGGAAAUACAACUGGUUCUUUUAGAAGGCAUAUACUAGGUAGUGAUUGUUCAAGAUCCUAACAGAAACAAGUGCCUGGUUAAACAUGAAUGUGCAAUCAAGUGACAUUUUUUAUGUCACCUGCACUCUAGCAACCUGUUCCAUGAAGAAACAUAAACUUUCAGGAAUUUCUAUCAAUUUUUGUUUUCAACUUGGCAUCUUGCUCUCUUCCAAUCUUGAACACAUGGUUAAACUCUUGUGAAUAGUAGGAAAUUACACAUCACACACUGUAUCUUUUUACCCCCUUCACAAUAAUAGGGUCUUCAAGUAAGCUUCAUAUGUGAUUUAUAUAUGGCUACUAAUGAAAAAUCCAAGUCACCAAAUUUUCAUUUUCUUAAAAACACUAUGUGCUUUGGUUCAUCCAAUAAAAUCGAACAUAACUUUUCUCCUAGAUAAAAAUUAAUAUCUGUAUGUUCUUUACUAGAUGUUUUGUUAUCACUACUCCUCGGAUGUCUCCAAUAAUACCACAUCCGCAUACCUCCCUUGACAUCCAACCAGGCUAGUUCAGAUUUUAGGGAAAAACAGAAACAGUAUGAAAUCCACAACAGUCUCUAUGCGAAUCAUUUCCAUAAAAUGCAUCGCUACAACAUAAACAUAACAAAAACAUCAAGAAGAGAAUAAUCUACCAAAUGAUGGAGCACAUUCUACAGCGGUCAUCAACCUACCUCCAUAGAAGAUACAGCCGUAGCAACACAAGGUUAAUCAUACUGCUACAAAACAACCAAAAUGUUCAUGUCCUAACCUCAUCAUUCAUCAGAGCAAAGAAGGGAUGGAAGGAGAGAAAGGAACACUACUCGCUCUAUCUGCCACUAAAGAUGUAGAACACUAUACCAAAAGAAGAAGAAG
rnacentral:lncRNA from 1 species